rnacentral:lncRNA from 1 species
AUGCUAACUCAUAAAUCAGCUUUUUCUCCAGUCUCUGCUGUCUCCCGUCCCUCCUCUCCUCCCAGAUCCUCUAAUCCACGUGGGCCAAAAGAGGAAAGGGAGUGUUAUUACUGUCACCAGGUCGGCCAUGUCAUUACAAACUGCUUGACACUAAAAUGCAAAGAGCAGUCCUCACGCCCUUCUCAAGCAAAAGGGGUAGGACUGAUUAAAGCAGAUUGUGGUGUGAACAUUGACUCAUCUGAUCAGAAAAUUGAUGACUGUUUUAAGCCAUUCGUGUUUGAUGCCUUUGUGUCAUUGACCGGUGAGUCAGCUGAUAAACACCCCAAACGGGCUUUGAGAGAUACUGCAUGCUCUCACUCUGUUAUUCUAGCGUCAGCUCUGCCUUUUUCUGAUAACUCUGCUUGUCAUUACAGUUUAGUUCUUAGAGGAGUUGAAAUGGGUUACAUGCCACGGCCAGUGUACCGCGUCUAUAUUCAGUCCUCCCUUGUUACUGGAUCCUUCCCAGUAGCGGUCUGUACUGAACUGCCAAUCCCUGGUAUUGUUCUCCUGAUGGGAAAUGAUAUCGCUGGAGGUAAGGUAACCCCCACACCAGAAGUCCUGGAUCAACCCCAGUGUGAUGGGAUCCAGACAUCAGUUCAGACACCACCAAAUGUGUUUCCGGCCUGCACUGUAACUCGCGCUCGUUCCCGUGAAAUUAACCCAGAUGACCAUGAAGUUUCAUUGUCUGACAGUCUAUUCGUGUCAGUUUAUUCAGGUGACAAUGAGAAAAACAAAGAGGCUGAGAGCUCCUUAUUGCCUGUCCAGGAUGCAUCUGCUAAGCAUACGCCCCCGACUGGCCUGGAACUGCCGUUAGCUGGAGAUGCGGCAUUUCCAGUCAGCCGAGCGUGCUUGAGCCAGAUGCAGAAAGCAGACCCGACAGUCUUUGCCAAGGUGGUGAGUAACGACAAAGCAAGGGGUGAACAAGUAUCAUAUAUUAUGGAUGGUGAGAUGCUGACACGUAAAUGGUCUCCCCGUGUAACUGGUGAUUCCGAUUGUGAUUCUGUUUACCAGAUAGUUGUUCCUGCAGGGUGCCGCCAGCAUAUCAUGUCAGUGGCUCAUGAGAGUAAGUGGGCAGGACAUUUGGGCAUAACCAAACGUAUCAAGCCAUCCUCUGACAUUUCUAUUGGCCAGGUUUAA